rnacentral:rRNA from 1 species
AGUGAACGCUGGCGGUAGGCCUAACACAUGCAAGUCGAACGGCAGCACAGUAAGAGCUUGCUCUUACGGGUGGCGAGUGGCGGACGGGUGAGGUAUACAUCGGACUCUACUUUUUCGUGGGGGAUAACGUAGGGAAACUUACGCUAAUACCGCAUACGCCCUACGGGUGAAAGCAGGGGAUCUUCGGCCCUUGCGCGAUUGAAUGAGCCGAUGUCGGAUUAGCUAGUUGGCGGGGUAAAGGCCCACCAAGGCGACGAUCCGUAGCUGGUCUGAGAGGAUGAUCAGCCACACUGGAACUGAGACACGGUCCAGACUCCUACGGGAGGCAGCAGUGGGGAAUAUUGGACAAUGGGCGCAAGCCUGAUCCAGCCAUGCCGCGUGUGUGAAGAAGGCCUUCGGGUUGUAAAGCCCUUUUGUUGGGAAAGAAAAGCAUCAGGUUAAUACCCCGCUGUUCUGACGUUACCCAAAGAAUAAGCACCGGCUAACUUCGUG